UUGCCCCAACAAGCAGACUCAGAACUGCUGCGUAGGUGCCGGAGGUGGCUGUGACCCGGUACCGCCGGGUGGGUGCUCAUGGAGGACCGCUCUUCUCUCUGAGUUGCCGUUGGACUUUCUUUCUGUACAUGGCAUUGGUACUGCAGCUCGGGCAGCCUGUGAGGGCCCGGCCCCUGCCGGGACUCUGCCCAGGCAGGCUCACUCGGACGAGCUCAUGUGACGUGUGCAACAGCACCGACCUUCCGGAAGUCGAAAUCAUCAGCCUCCUGGAGGAGCAGCUGCCCCAUUACAGGCUAAGAGCCGACACCAUCUACGGUUAUGACCACGACGACUGGCUCCACACCCCCCUCAUUUCUCCAGAUGCCAACAUCGACCUCACCACCGAGCAGAUCGAGGAGACGCUGAAGUACUUCCUUUUAUGUGCUGAAAGAGUUGGCCAGAUGACUAAGACAUAUAAUGACAUCGAUGCUGUAACUCGGCUUCUUGAAGAGAAAGAGCGGGAUUUAGAGUUGGCUGCUCGGAUUGGCCAGUCGUUGUUGAAGAAGAACAAGACACUAACCGAGAGGAACGAGCUGCUGGAGGAGCAGGUUGAGCACAUCAGGGAGGAGGUGUCACAGCUCCGGCAUGAACUGUCCAUGAAGGAUGAGCUGCUGCAGUUCUACACCAGCGCCGCGGAGGAGAGCGAGCCCGAGUCCGUGUGCUCCACCCCGUUGAAGAGGAAUGAGUCGUCCUCCUCUGUCCAGAAUUACUUCCAUCUGGAUUCUCUCCAGAAGAAGCUGAAGGACCUUGAAGAGGAAAACGUUGUACUUCGAUCCGAGGCCUGCCAGCUGAAGACGGAGACCAUCACCUAUGAAGAGAAGGAGCAGCAGCUGGUCAACGACUGUGUGAAGGAGCUGAGGGACGCCAACGUGCAGAUUGCCAGUAUCUCAGAGGAACUGGCCAAGAAAACUGAGGACGCUGCCCGCCAGCAAGAGGAGAUCACACACCUGCUCUCGCAAAUAGUUGAUUUGCAGAAGAAGGCAAAAGCUUGCGCCGUGGAAAAUGAAGAACUCGUCCAGCACCUGGGAGCCGCCAAGGAUGCCCAGCGGCAGCUCACGGCCGAGCUGCGCGAGCUGGAGGACAAGUACGCGGAGUGCAUGGAGAUGCUUCACGAGGCGCAGGAGGAGCUCAAGAACCUCCGCAACAAGACCGUGCCCAGCACUGCGUCUCGGCGCUACCACUCCCUGGGCCUGUUUCCCAUGGACUCCUUGGCCGCGGAGAUCGAGGGCACGAUGCGCAAGGAGCUGCAGCUGGAGGAGCCCGAGUCACCAGACAUCGCGCACCAGAAGCGAGUCUUCGAGACGGUGCGGAACAUCAACCAGGUCGUCAAGCAGAGGUCUCUGACCCCGUCACCCAUGAACAUCCCCGGCUCCAACCAGUCCUCAGCCAUGAACUCCCUCCUGUCCAGCUGCGUCAGCACCCCCCGGUCCAGCUUCUACGGCAGCGACGUCGGCAACGUCGUCCUGGACAACAAGACCAACAGCAUCAUCUUGGAAGCAGAGUCAGCCGACCUGGGAAACGAGGAGCCGCGCAGCAAGAAGCCGGGCACGCCGGGCACCCCGGGCUCCCACGACCUGGAGACGGCGCUGCGGCGGCUGUCCCUCCGCCGGGAGAACUACCUCUCGGAGAGGAGGUUCUUCGAGGAGGAGCAGGAGCGGAAGCUCAGGGAGCUGGCGGAGAAGGGCGAGCUGCUCAGCGGCUCCCUGACGCCCACCGAGAGCAUCAUGUCCCUCGGCACGCACUCCCGCUUCUCCGAGUUCACCGGCUUCUCCGGCAUGUCGUUCAGCAGCCGCUCCUACCUGCCUGAGAAGCUGCAGAUCGUGAAGCCGCUGGAAGGUUCGGCCACCCUUCACCACUGGCAGCAGCUGGCCCAGCCUCACCUGGGGGGCAUCCUGGACCCCCGGCCCGGGGUGGUCACCAAGGGCUUCCGGACGCUGGACGUUGACCUGGACGAAGUGUACUGCCUUAACGACUUUGAGGAAGAUGACACAGGUGACCACAUUUCCCUCCCGGGCCUAGCUACCUCCACGCCAGUUCAGCACCCAGAGACCUCAGGUGAGAGGUCCCGGGCACGCGUGACUGUCUCAGGCAGCAGAAGUUACCCAAGCCGGCCUCAGGCCUUCCCAGAGGAGAUGCAGGAGCCGCCCACGGCCGAGGAGGAGGAGGAGGAGGAGGGGUCUGGUGAGGGCACCGCCGUCAGUCCUGUAAACCUGGCACCCCCACCGGAGGCGGAGUUCUGGGCCAUUCUCACCUCUGUUCCCAGCACCAUCCGUAGUGGCUCUCUGUCUGUAGCUUCCGCUCGUCUGUGUGGGUGAUGACGACAGCGUUCCCCCGCGGUUCUGGGUUUUUAAGAGUCGAUGCCUCCUGUAACAAGCUGGGGUGCUCCCUGCCCACCGUGGAGGUGCAUGGCCCAGCGGGCUCUUGGAGGGAGCAGGAAAGGCUGCUAAAAAGAAGUGGAUUUUUGGUCCCUACCCCCUUCCCCCCAACAUCUGCUUCCCGCCCCAUCUCUCCUUGUGUCUAAGACGCAGUGUCUCAAGUUCCCUCAUGACUUCCAAACUGAGCUGAGUCAGGCAGUUUUAGGGGAAAUUAUGGAUGGUUCAGAAGGUGAAUGAGGGAAUCCGUUACCUACACAAGGCAUUAGAAUUGGACACCCAGAAAGUGUACAGGAUUUUAGACAACACUUUGAUGCAUCAGCCUGUUGACUUUCUAACUGCAACGAGGGUGCAUGUGUCUUCUCACAAGCUUAUACGUGCGUUCAAAAUGGAUUUUUUUAAAAAGUGUUUUAGCAACAGUCCUUAACCCAGCAAACCCUAAGACGAUGUCAGUAAGUUUUUUUAAGAGAGAGAGGACUCUAGAUGAAUCUCGAAAAGAGUCCUGGCUGAUCUCUGUGCACGCACCUCACCCCCCUCCCCAAAGUAUUGAAGACCUGACCAUGAGCUUGCAGAAUUACUCACACGUCCUAGACGCCACUGGGCUGAAAAGCUUUGUGUUCAGGGCCCUGGGAUCAGACAGUCAUGUGUUUAUCCCAGACUCCCUGGGCCGUCUGGCUGCUUGGCCUGAGGGGAGAGACCCAGAAAAAGGUGAACUGACCCAAUGUCAUCAUUCUCAUGACAUUCCCAAGUCACUGAGUUUGGGGAGGGGAUGUUCAUCUUUGUGAUCAAUGAUUUUCAUUCCUAAAAGCAUAACACUCCCCAUGAAAUCCAGGGCAGGAGAGAGCUGAGGUUCAUGGACGCAUCUCCCAUACCCUGUCCAGGUUCACACUCUUGUGACUAAGGGACUUUAUUCAGAACCUUUUCUCUUUUCUCUGAUGUAAACUAGAGGUGUCAUCAAGUAAAAAGAUUGUUUAGCACACAGGUUUAUUUAUGGUGUAUUUUUUUAAUUUUUAAAUUUUUAUUCUUAUUUUUUUAAAUGGAGGUACUCAGGUUGAACCCAGGACCUCGUGCAUAUUAAGCACACAUUUUACCACUGAGCUAUGCCUUCCCCCCAUUUUUAUUAUUUUUUGAGCAAUCAAGUUACCAGAUUAAGCUUGCAAGGGAAUGAAAAUGCUUAUUAUUUAAAAUCUUCUCACUUAAGAAAACCAGCUUCACUAUUGUCACCUCCCUUUGUCAUCGGCACUGGUGCCCAUCUGGAAGGCAGACAGUGGUACAGGAGACACUGUGUCUGCCGAUUUUGUGACUGAAGGGGCGUCACAUCGAGUGUGGUGACCCCUCCCUGCAGUCCUGCAGGUGGAAUAGAAGGUGAAUCCUGUAAGUUUAAAGAAGCACCAUCAGGUUUGUCUUCAAGAAGGUGUAGAGAGGGAAGAACGCUUAGCAAUCAGCCAGAAAUAUCUCGAGGUCAGCGGGCGCGCGCGGGCCAGCUGCAGGACGCAAGCCCUGACCGCCGUCCGUACCACACACAGAGGCAUGUUUAUUGCUGCGUCCCUCCUUACUCCCACCUGCAGCAGACCCGUCCCACCAGUCUUACUUGAGAGGCACACAGACGUACAGUAUAAACUGUAGAGGGGUCGGGUUGGAAGUGUGCCACCAAAAAGAAUCACGUAGACUGCAGGAGGUAGUUUAGGGGUCAUUUAGACGAGGGCUCUUUUGAUCUUGUUUUCAGGGAAAGACUGGUUAAAAGCUCAGUGAAGGGGGGAAAGGCAUGAAUCAUGACUUGGCUCUUUUUUUUCCUCUAUCGGGGGUGACAGAACCGUUUUGAUUCUUGGAAGGUAAGAAGCACGUCACUCAAUAAAUCAUCCUAAAGGCCCCGAGUGGCGCUGUGCACACGAUCUCGGAGGCACAGGUAGACGCGAGCUUCAGCAGGAAGGCCUGGGCCUCCUGCGUCUUGGGAUUUGUAUCCGGGCUGGCCUGGUCCCUGCCUUGGUCUGCCCUUUCCUGCUGCCAAACAGCACCAUGCCAGGAGCUGCCUUCUGCCUGGGAAGACUUAGUAGGGAGAAACUUUGAAGACAGAAGGUAAUUAACCUUUUCUCUUCCAACUGGUCUUAUGGGAGGAAAUUGGGAAGACUUGUAUAUUAGGCACUUUGGUCGAGAGCCUGCUCUCUCAUGGAGGAAAAAUUUUGAGUACUGAAAAAAAUUAAUGAAUAUAUUUUAAUGUAUUAUUGUAUCCUCAUUUGAUUUUUAUAACCCCAUGUCUUUAAAAAGGAUGAAUCCUUGUUAUUAUAUUUGUAAAUAAUUUAGAUGAUUAAAAUGGAUUAUUUAAAACAAUUUUUAGAUUAUAGUUUUACUUUAUUUCAGUGACAUAUUUUAUGUUUUAAUUUAUAUAGGAAGUGUACUUUAUCAGAAAUAGACAUGGGGAGGUGGGUGUAGCUCAGUGGCAGAGCGCAUUCUUAGCGUGUAUGAGGUCCUGGGUUCAGUCCCCAGUACCUUCAUUUAAAAAAAAGAGAGAGAGAGAGGUGACUUCCUACAACUCCCUAAAAAUAAAAUGUAAAAAACCUAGAUGAAAUAAACAAUUUUUUAAAAAAAGCAAUGCAUUAAAAAAGAGAAGAAAUAGACAUAAUUUUGUACUGACAGUGCUCUGAAUUUUAGGUAUUAAUGUGUAAAGAAGAGCCUGCAUGUAGUAAAAGGUUUAAGAUCAGAGGUUUUUUUGUUUUUACUUUGUACUUCUUUUCCUUCCCUUAACAGAGGCACUGGGAAUUGAACCCAGGACCUCGUGAAUGCCAAGCAUGUGCUCUACCACUGAGCUAUACCUCCCUUCCUAAGAUCAGAGUUUUAAAGUCAUACAGUUAAGCCGGUAGAUGGUUGGAUGGAUGGACUGUCCAGUUGAAUUAUCUUGGAUGCCUUGAUUCUUAAAGGGAAGACAGAGGCGGGAUUAAAGCAACAAAGAAGAAAGCCAAGGAAGGGAGCUGCUGCAGUGGCCUGGCGAGCAGUGGUGACUCGGAGAGCUGGCGGGUCCAGGCGUCCCAGUG